rnacentral:snRNA from 1 species
CACCUGCGCAUCAGAAUUCA